GUUCCCUGUGAAGCUGGGCCUAUCAAAUCCUAUGAGAGUUAUUCAAAGAUAGUACUAAAUCAAGAGUCUUGAUCCUGCAGUGGAAGCAGAGAGCAUUCGGCAUCUAGCAAGCUACAAUUCUGGAAUAGAAGGUUGCUACACGCUGGCAUUCUGCGCUGCACAGUCAUACCUGCAGCACCUUUGAACAAGGAAAAAUACUGCUCACCAGCACCAGCUGCUCCGCAUCCUGCUGCCGGUCUCUCUGGGCACAAGCGAACAGCAGCGACAGCGGGGUGCGGGACGGCCAAGAACUCGUAGGUGUGCUCAGGCAGUGAAGAGAUGAAAGAGGAGGAAGAUGAGAAUGAUUCAAUACACAUCUACAUAUUGUACAAGCCAUCACACUCGCACCAGCUAUGUUUUAUUAGUAGCUAUAGCAUUAGAAGCUAUAUUCGAGCCACAUGAAUACUGAAGUCCUCUAUAUGGCUAUGCAUGUACAUACACAUCGCCUCUGUAAUACAAUUCAUUAUAUGUUGAUUUUCAUUUAUGUUAAAUUAACUGACCACACCUAGUAGUUUUGUACACCAUGUGAGAAGUGGUCACUUCUCACACGUUGUACUAGUCCCAAGUCCCAUCUCAGGAAUUUCUGUACGUGUUUCCUCAUGCUGAAGGUCUAACCUCCAGAAACUCCCGAGAAUUUGAAACCUGCCAGUUUACUGCCAUAAACAUUGUAUGUUGUUCCCAUGAAAAAAACCACUUGCCAAGUGACAAGACUGUGAAAUACUGCAGUCAAUUACGCUCAGCAGAGAGAUGUUUUUGUUGGCUAUUGAAGCUCAGCAGAGACUUCCUGGCUAUUAGUUCUCCAGCAAUUUCAUCGGAUCUAGCUUAUUCCAUCCUACACAGUUCUCAGGCCUAUUGCCAUUCCUACAAAAUGACUGAGAAUAAUCAAUCCUCAUGCUGCAAGGGAUAUGUAGAACUGCACUGGUGCCAGAAGAACAGAAAGACAGCAGCGUUCUCCAUGAGUCCAUUAGAGAGACCAACAAUCUGACAUUUCUUAAAUUUAAGAGCUUGUUUGUGUGAUUUUCAUUUUCUUUUAUUGCCUUUUUUUUUUCCUCCAGACUCCAUGCAACCCAAACAGAAGUGCCCACAAUCACAAACUACCUACUAUCAGAAAACCUACUAAUCACAAAUGUCAUCAGCCACUUCAGAGAGCCACGGGUCCAUGAAGGCAGCACAUUCCUGUUGUGUCUAGCGGGAGACACGCAAGGCAUCACAAUUUCUUCUUCAAGUUUCGAAAGUAGUUCUUCCUAGACAACAUUAGACUGUAUUAGGUCAGCCUGCUUUCUUUCCAUACUACAGAGGAGGAAAACACCAGGCAAACUAAAUGAUCAAUCCAGGACCACAAAACUCUAUGCCCAGCUUAGAAACUGAAUCUAGGUCUCAUGAAUCCCAACCCAAUGGUCUAGCCA